rnacentral:rRNA from 1 species
AAUCCAUAGGUUAAUGAGGCGAACCGGGGGAACUGAAACAUCUAAGUACCCCGAGGAAAAGAAAUCAACCGAGAUUCCCCCAGUAGCGGCGAGCGAACGGGGAGGAGCCCAGAGCCUGAAUCAGCAUGUGUGUUAGUGGAAGCGUCUGGAAAGGCGCGCGAUACAGGGUGACAGCCCCGUACACAAAAGCGCAUGUGCUGUGAGCUCGAUGAGUAGGGCGGGACACGUGGUAUCCUGUCUGAAUAUGGGGGGACCAUCCUCCAAGGCUAAAUACUCCUGACUGACCGAUAGUGAACCAGUACCGUGAGGGAAAGGCGAAAAGAACCCCGGCGAGGGGAGUGAAAAAGAACCUGAAACCGUGUACGUACAAGCAGUGGGAGCACCCUUUGGGUGUGACUGCGUACCUUUUGUAUAAUGGGUCAGCGACUUAUAUUCUGUAGCAAGGUUAACCGAAUAGGGGAGCCGGAGGGAAACCGAGUCUUAACCGGGCGUUAAGUUGCAGGGUAUAGACCCGAAACCCGGUGAUCUAGCCAUGGGCAGGUUGAAGGUUGGGUAACACUAACUGGAGGACCGAACCGACUAAUGUUGAAAAAUUAGCGGAUGACCUGUGGCUGGGGGUGAAAGGCCAAUCAAACCGGGAGAUAGCUGGUUCUCCCCGAAAGCUAUUUAGGUAGCGCCUCGUGAAUUCAUCUCCGGGGGUAGAGCACUGUUUCGGCUAGGGGGCCAUCCCGGCUUACCAACCCGAUGCAAACUGCGAAUACCGGAGAAUGUUAUCACGGGAGACACACGGCGGGUGCUAACGUCCGUCGUGAAGAGGGAAACAACCCAGACCGCCAGCUAAGGUCCCAAAGUCAUGGUUAAGUGGGAAACGAUGUGGGAAGGCCCAGACAGCCAGGAUGUUGGCUUAGAAGCAGCCAUCAUUUAAAGAAAGCGUAAUAGCUCACUGGUCGAGUCGGCCUGCGCGGAAGAUGUAACGGGGCUAAACCAUGCACCGAAGCUGCGGCAGCGACACUGUGUGUUGUUGGGUAGGGGAGCGUUCUGUAAGCCUGCGAAGGUGGCCUGUGAGGGUUGCUGGAGGUAUCAGAAGUGCGAAUGCUGACAUAAGUAACGAUAAAGCGGGUGAAAAGCCCGCUCGCCGGAAGACCAAGGGUUCCUGUCCAACGUUAAUCGGGGCAGGGUGAGUCGACCCCUAAGGCGAGGCCGAAAGGCGUAGUCGAUGGGAAACGGGUUAAUAUUCCCGUACUUGGUGUUACUGCGAAGGGGGGACGGAGAAGGCUAUGUUGGCCGGGCGACGGUUGUCCCGGUUUAAGCGUGUAGGUGUGUGUUCCAGGUAAAUCCGGUUCACUUUAACACUGAGGCGUGACGACGAGGCACUACGGUGCUGAAGCAACAAAUGCCCUGCUUCCAGGAAAAGCCUCUAAGCAUCAGGUAACAUCAAAUCGUACCCCAAACCGACACAGGUGGUCAGGUAGAGAAUACCAAGGCGCUUGAGAGAACUCGGGUGAAGGAACUAGGCAAAAUGGUGCCGUAACUUCGGGAGAAGGCACGCUGACACGUAGGUGAAGUGAUUUACUCAUGGAGCUGAAGUCAGUCGAAGAUACCAGCUGGCUGCAACUGUUUAUUAAAAACACAGCACUGUGCAAACACGAAAGUGGACGUAUACGGUGUGACGCCUGCCCGGUGCCGGAAGGUUAAUUGAUGGGGUCAGCGCAAGCGAAGCUCCUGAUCGAAGCCCCGGUAAACGGCGGCCGUAACUAUAACGGUCCUAAGGUAGCGAAAUUCCUUGUCGGGUAAGUUCCGACCUGCACGAAUGGCGUAAUGAUGGCCAGGCUGUCUCCACCCGAGACUCAGUGAAAUUGAACUCGCUGUGAAGAUGCAGUGUACCCGCGGCAAGACGGAAAGACCCCGUGAACCUUUACUAUAGCUUGACACUGAACAUUGAGCCUUGAUGUGUAGGAUAGGUGGGAGGCUUUGAAGUGUGGACGCCAGUCUGCAUGGAGCCGACCUUGAAAUACCACCCUUUAAUGUUUGAUGUUCUAACGUGGACCCGUUACCCGGGUUGCGGACAGUGUCUGGUGGGUAGUUUGACUGGGGCGGUCUCCUCCUAAAGAGUAACGGAGGAGCACGAAGGUUGGCUAAUCCUGGUCGGACAUCAGGAGGUUAGUGCAAUGGCAUAAGCCAGCUUGACUGCGAGCGUGACGGCGCGAGCAGGUGCGAAAGCAGGUCAUAGUGAUCCGGUGGUUCUGAAUGGAAGGGCCAUCGCUCAACGGAUAAAAGGUACUCCGGGGAUAACAGGCUGAUACCGCCCAAGAGUUCAUAUCGACGGCGGUGUUUGGCACCUCGAUGUCGGCUCAUCACAUCCUGGGGCUGAAGUAGGUCCCAAGGGUAUGGCUGUUCGCCAUUUAAAGUGGUACGCGAGCUGGGUUUAGAACGUCGUGAGACAGUUCGGUCCCUAUCUGCCGUGGGCGCUGGAGAACUGAGGGGGGCUGCUCCUAGUACGAGAGGACCGGAGUGGACGCAUCACUGGUGUUCGGGUUGUCAUGCCAAUGGCACUGCCCGGUAGCUAAAUGCGGAAGAGAUAAGUGCUGAAAGCAUCUAAGCACGAAACUUGCCCCGAGAUGAGUUCUCCCUGAGACUUAAAGUCUCCUGAAGGAACGUUGAAGACGACGACGUUGAUAGGCCGGGUGUG